AUGCCCAGCUAAUUUUUAUAUUUUUAAUAGAGACGGGGUUUCACCAUGUUGGCCAGGAUGGUCUCAAUCUCUUGACCUCGUAAUCCGCCCGCCUCGGCCUCCCAAAGUGCUGGGAUUACAGGCGUGAGCCACCGUGCCCAGCCUGGCAAGCAGGUUGUAUUUACUUAGAUGACAUAUUUCAUCCUAAGCUCUGUUUCUGACCUAAUGGGUCUGAGAAAAAAAAAAAAAAAGCAAGUAGAUGAAAUGUUCAUUUGUAGUGGCUUGCAGGGUAGGACAUGAUUAGCUGAAGAAAGCGAUACAUCCAGCCAGGCGUGAGCCACCACGCCUGGCCAGUGCAAUAUUUUUAAAAGUCAAAAUAGGUGCAGCAAAACCCCAUAAUGAACAAAAUAUUGAAAUGUUAAAUAAAAAUUAGAUCAGUGCUACUAAUUUUUUCUUUUGCCUCAGGCUCCAAUAUGGUUAGGCACAGCACUACUUGGCACUGCCACUGAGCAAAGAGUAUGGGCAGACAGAACUGCUUUCAGAACACUCUUUGUAUUUUUUUUGAAAUAUGUUUGGACAGGAAUGAUGGAGGGAAUUGCUAGAAGUCACCUCCACAGCUUCCAGGAUUUAGAUGGCUGAGCAUUGACCUUUCUAGACUUUUUUUUUUAAUUUCCCCAAUACAGAAUCAGAACAAGAAACAGAAACACAAACGCUAUCUUCAAUAAAACUAGGAAACAUUUAUCCCCGCAAACUCACAGCACUUGAAAACAAAAAGCAGAUGGAGGAAUGGUGACUAAAUUAGCAGAGCAGAGGAAGGCCAAGCUUUGUUGGAGAAGACCCACAAAAAGCAAGACAACUCAAGGACUGAAGCCUGGUACUUUGGAAGGCAGUAAUAGGAACAGGACACUGAAGACAGUGAGGGGUGUCUGAAGACUGAAAAGCAGCCCUAGAAGCCUUCCCUCACUCCCAUCAGUCAGGCAGCCACCCCUUCCCCACUCCCACAAGUACUUUUUCUGGGGAGAAACAAUCUGAGAAGCUUAGGGAGCAGCAGGAAGGAAGAGAGAUCGGGUGAGAAUUCCGUGAAAGUCUACAGGCCGGGUAUGGUGGCUCACGGCUGUAAUCCCAGCAGUUUGGGAGGCCAAGGCAGGCAGAUCACUUGAGGUCAGGAGCUCGAGACCAGCCAGGGCAACAUAGUAAAACCUUGUCUCUACUAAAAAUACAAAAAAUUUAGCAGGCAUGGUGGCCGGUGCCUGUAAUCUCAGCUACUCAGGAGGCUAAGACAGGAGAAUUGCUUGAACCCAGGAGGCAAGAGGUUGCAGUCAGCUGAGAUCAUGCCACUGUACUGCAGCCUGGGCAACAGAGUGAGACUCCAUCUCAAAAAAAAAAAAAAAAAGUCUACAGAGUUUCCAGAGUACUUGCUUUGUUUUCUUUUUCUUUUUUUUUUUUUUUAACAAAAAAAGGGCAUCCAGGCAUAGAGGCCAAGGUGGGCGGAUCACAAGGUCAGGAGUUCAACACAAGCCUGACCAACAUGGUAAAACCU
rnacentral:lncRNA from 1 species